UGAUUGGCUGAACCUUUUUAUUAAAGUUUUAUUUUUGCCUUGUAAAAAAACAUGGCUGCAAUUAUAGUGAAAUGUAAAUAUGUUCCUUGAGUGAAACUGUGAUACCAGUGGAACUACAGGAAACUAUAAAUCAAUUUAUCAAGGAUUUUAUUUCUAUUUAUUUAUUUUCUGUAUAUUAUUGUAUAGUAUUGUUAAUAAAGAGUUAUAGUUUGAUUUGUGCUCGGUUAAUUUCAGUGUUCGAUAGUAAAAGUGCAAAAGUGUUUUUGUUUUUCGUUCAAAAUGAAGCGCUGUUGCGUGCCUAAGUGUAAAACAGCUAUUAAUUUACGUGCUGUACCAUAUACUGAUGUUACUAGAUGGAAGAAGAAGGACUUGAUCAUUGGAAAUCAGCAUGCUCAAUGGGCUUUCAUUGAACGGGCUUAUGCUACUGAUGGUGCAGGAGGACGUGCCAGAACCAUAGAUUUAAACGAUAAACAUAUAAACCCAAGUUCCUACGAUAAGAUGAAGAAUACCUGGAUCACUGGGCAUCUGCAUGCUCAAUAUGCUUCCAUCAAUGUUAAGAAUAUGCUACUGUUGGUGUAGGAGGAGGGUGUCCGAGAACAUAAAAAAUUACUUAAGAUGAAGGUCAAAUAUGCUUCAGAUGUCUUCAGUUUUAGAGGUGUACACUGCCUUACUUUGGAAAAUGAAGUCAUAUUAUAAAGAACUUCGUUAUAGUGUUCCAUAUGUCAACAUGACUGCCUCUGUGGUCCAGUGGUUAGUCUAUGUGUUCACAAGGUCCUGGGUUCAAAUCCUGGGUAGAGCUAAAUGAGAUACUGAGUUUUUCCUUCUUUUAAGAAAUUUUUAGUUAUAAUUAUCAGCCGUGAGUUGGAAAGUUGGUGGCAUUACACCCCAUUAGUUCUAGUUCACAAACGCCAUUUAGAUUGAAACUUUUUCUCCUUCUCCUAGAACUAUGAUUGAGGUGUCAUUUUUUCGGAAACACAUUUGAAAAGCUUUUGAAAAAAUUAAAGGGCUGCUUGCAAAAAUUGCAAAAGUUAUAAACAAUUAACUAAAAUAUAAGGGGUUUGUUUUUUUAAUAUCAAAAACUAUUUAAGAUAUUUCCAAUUUGCCAAAAGAUUCAAAAAGAAGAGGAAAAUUGCUAACAAAAACUAUAACCUUUAGAAGUCUGGCUUAAUAUUUAUUGAACUAAAUAACCUCUGGAUCUACUGAUUGACUUCCAAAUUCUUUUACCAUGUUAUUUGUGAGUUUCAUAGGCAUAUUUUUAUCCUCCUAUUCUCACCAAAACGGGAACUACGCGGGUGAAACCGGGGGGCGUCAGCUAGUUAUGUAUAUAAAUUCUGUAGGAUUUUAAAUAAUUUUAACAGUUGUAAACUAUUUCCAGGAGAAAUACUUUAUACUUAUAUACAUAAUACUAAUUUACUUAAUUUUACCUUACAGGUCAAUUAUUAUGCUUCGGACGUCUUCAGUUACAGAGGUACACUGUACACUGCCUUUUACUUGGGAAAAUGAAGUCAUACGAAGAUCUUAGAUAUAGUGUUCCACAAUUAUGUUAACAUAACUCUCUUACAUACUUAUAACAUAAGCCUCUCUGGUUCAGUGGUUACCCUAUGUGGUCACGAGGUCCGGGGUUAUAUAAGAUACUGAGCUUUUCAUCUAAGAAAUUUUGACUUAUAAUUCUCAGUCCUUAGUUGGGAAUUUAGUGGUGUUACACCCUGUGCCUCAGAGUGCAUGUUAACUUGUCCCGGACAAGGCCACGUCCCGUAAAUAAUGGAUAAAACGCAAAUGGUAGAUACGCCACCUAAUUCUACAAUUCUACGUUUUAUACUAAUUUACUACCCUCUAUAAGUGUACAAGUUUUUAAAAUAAUGGUUUUUUCGAUUCAAAAUUAGAUUUCAUCAUUUUUUACCGGACAAUGUGUUUUAAAUCGGGUCCUAAUGAAAGAAAAAUAAUUAUUACACAAAAAAUAGUCAAAUUAGUUAUAGAUAAUAGGGUGGUGUAUCUAUCAUAUUAGUCUGAUCUACAUGUGCUCUUUAGUAUAAAAAAAAAGUUCUCCAUCUCCUAUAAAAAUGGUUGAGGUGUCAUUCGAUUCGGAAUUGAAUAUACAUAGUUUUUGAAAAAUUUGAAGGCCCGCUCACUAAAAUUGCAAAAGUUAUAAAUAAUUCACUAAAAAUGAAAAAGGGGUUCAAGCAUUUUUAUAGGAGACAGAACUUUUUUUUACUAAAGAGCAGUGACCACAUUCCAUCCAGUUUAAAUGCGUUAUAUCCAUUAAUUACGCGACAUCUGUCAUAUAUUUUGUGAAGUAGUCAUAUAAUUUUGUAACUGUACAAUUUGGUAUUUUACUGCAUGGAAAUGUUUACAUUUUUAUUAAAGAAAUAAAUAAAAGA